rnacentral:rRNA from 1 species
UACAGAGGGUGCGAGCGUUGUUCGAAUCAACUGGGCGUAAAGGGCGCGUAGGCGGCUUUUAAGUCGGGGGUGAAAGCCUGUGGCUCAACCACAGAAUUGCCUUCGAUACUGUUUGGCUUGAGACCGGAAGAGGUAAGUGGAACUGCGAGUGUAGAGGUGAAAUUCGUAGAUAUUCGCAAGAACACCAGUGGCGAAGGCGGCUUACUGGUCCGGUUCUGACGCUGAGGCGCGAAAGCGUGGGGAGCAAACAGGG